rnacentral:lncRNA from 1 species
AUCGCCGGGGAUUUGAUCCCUGGAUCUCCUGAUUCCAGGUCUACACGCUGUCCAGUUGGGCUACAAUGCAACUUUAGACAAAACAUGGGAUUUGCGCUAGAUGUAUCAUACCAUGCUGCUGACUGAACCAGGUGCAGAACAGAUGUUCCUUUCUCUGUUGUCGGUGCUGGAGUUACAGGCUGCAGGUUCGGCGGCACGGCUUCAGGUCAGGCCUUGCCUGAUGGUGGAGCUCCGUCCAUGGGGACACGGCGACGCACCAGGUCAAGGCAAGGGCCUCUAGAUCCGGUCGGGGUUGCGGCCUUGCGACGGCUUGGACAAGCAAGCUCCAUGGGGCGGCGACCAUGGCAGGAUCCGGCGGGUUCUGCACGGGGACGGCGAGGGUGACAGGGUCCUGGCCGAAGGCGACGGGGACGAACCAGAUCGGGCCUGAUCCGGGGGCGUCCAUCCUGUUCCCAAAGGCGUCGAGGUCCAGGCUUGACGUCCAUGGCGGCGAUUUAGGACCUCCUCUGCUGUUCCUGCGGGUCAGAGAAGAGGGAGAGAUAGAACGUGAGGGAGAGAGGAAGGUAGGCAGAGAGAUGGAGAGGCGGAGGAAGGGCGGCUCGAGGGGACCAGCGUGGUCGGCCUGCUGGUGGAGCUCCGAGCAGGCCGGUCGGCAAGGUGAAGUUGGGGCUCCGGCCAGCACGGCGGGAGCUGCUACUCCUUCUUGUUGCCAGGCUACUGGUACGCGGACACGUCCACGGGGAGAGGAGCCGCGGGAUGGAUUUGGCUGCAGUUUUGCUUGGCGGAGAAAACGAGGUGGGCGGCGGCGGCUGCGGGACAAGACGCCUAGGAGUUAGGGUUUGUUCCUAAUUAGGUAGGGAUGGCCUAUAAAUAUAGAGGGGAAUUU